rnacentral:rRNA from 1 species
CACACGACUCUCGGCAACGGAUAUCUCGGCUCUCGCAUCGAUGAAGAACGUAGCGAAAUGCGAUACCUGGUGUGAAUUGCAGAAUCCCGCGAACCAUCGAGUCUUUGAACGCAAGUUGCGCCCGAGGCCCUCGGGCCGAGGGCACGCCUGCUUGGGCGUCACGC